UACAGAGGUCCCAAGCGUUGUUCGGAUUUAUUGGGCGUAAAGGGUGCGUAGGCGGCGGAGUAAGUUGGGUGUGAAAUCCCGGGGCUCAACCUCGGAAUUGCAUUCAAUACUGCUUCGCUCGAGUACUGGAGAGGAGGCUGGAAUUUACGGUGUAGCAGUGAAAUGCGUAGAUAUCGUAAGGAAGGCCGGUGGCGAAAGCGAGCCUCUGGACAGUUACUGACGCUGAUGCACGAAGGCCAGGGGAGCAAAC
rnacentral:rRNA from 1 species